UUCACCCGUGUGUAGUUUACUGUUUAUGCUUUCUUAAAAUGUUAUUUAAUUUUAUCAAAUGCUAAAUAAUAGUAAUAGCUGAAUUAUAAAUAAAAAAAAAUAUAAUAAUCACUCGUAGGUUUCUUCAAGGUGGAUAAUUCCCUAAUUAUAAGAAGUUUAGUGUUGUGCCAAUAAAUAUGUUAACUAAUACUAAUCCUCAGUUUAGCUACAGACUACCUGAACAUGUUGACAAUGAUGUUCUUCAAAUGGCAGAGGAGCCCGACUACACUUGAGCAAAGUAUUAGGUUAAAAUUUUUGAUGGGAACAAAAUUUAUGAUUAUUUUAGAAAAGUAUGGCAUCAGCAAGUUGAAGUUAAAAAUUCUCUACAGAAACAAAAGUUGAAGAAUAUAAGACCUUAAAGCCUAAAAGAAUUAAAAAGGUGCUUGCUUUGGAAAAUAAGUGUUCAUUUGAUAUCUGAUGAAAGCAAUAAUUCUGAUGGUAAUUUUUUUGAAGUAAUGACUUCAUCUACUAAUUAACCUUUAGCUGUGCCUGUUCCAGUUACACCGAUAGGUAAAAUAGCUUUAACUAAACUUCAUUAGUAAGCUAUCAAUACAGUUGAUUUUUUAAAUAA